AACAAACGCUGGCGGCGUGCCUAACACAUGCAAGUCGUACGAGAAAGUCGGCUUCGGCCGAUGAGUACAGUGGCGCGCGGGUGAGUAACGCGUGGGUAAUCUGCCCCCGGUCAGGAAUAACCCGCCGAAAGGCGGGCUAAUACCCGAUAACACUGACGCUCUGCGGAGUGUCUUUCAAAGAAGGCCUCUGUUUACAAGCUUUCGCCGGAGGAUGAGCCCGCGUACCAUUAGCUAGUUGGCAGGGUAAUGGCCUACCAAGGCAACGAUGGUUAGCUGGUCUGAGAGGAUGGCCAGCCACACUGGAACUGAGACACGGUCCAGACUCCUACGGGAGGCAGCAGUGAGGAAUCUUGCGCAAUGGGGGAAACCCUGACGCAGCAACGCCGCGUGAGUGAGGAAGGCCUUCGGGUCGUAAAGCUCUGUCAGAUGGGAAGAAAUGGGUGGGGGCUAAUAUCGUCCAUCCUUGACGGUACCAUCAGAGGAAGCACCGGCUAACUCCGUG
rnacentral:rRNA from 1 species